UCCUCCCUCAAACCUCGUGUUUGGUGUUAGACCUAGUUGUGUAAACAACUGGUCUCAAAGACAAUGACGGCGUCCGUGGGACCCUCGGUGCAACGAGCUUUUAGGAGCACGCGUCGAGUUUCAAGGACCCUCCGGGCCGGUCUCCUAUUUAUCAUCAA
rnacentral:misc_RNA from 1 species